rnacentral:lncRNA from 1 species
GAGGAAUACGGGUAUCCUGUCUAAAUCUUUUACCAAGUUUUUUUAUAAAAAACAUUGCCAAAUGAUUAUGUUUUAAAAAGAAACGAUUAUGGGACGGAGAUUUUAUGACAGAUAGAAGACGGGACGGGACGGGGCGGGGUGGGACGGGACGGGUCAGGACGAGACGGAAAGGGACAUGACGGGUUUUCCAUUAUAAACUACACAUAAAACAAUUCAAAC